CACCACCACAGGCUGGUCGGCCCCCAGGCUGAGCUGGGCAAAUAUCUCUGAAAGGUUCACCCUCAAGCACGACUAGGAGC
rnacentral:pre_miRNA from 1 species